AACGCACAUUGCGCCCUUUGGUAUUCCAAAGGGCAUGCCUGUUCGAGCGUCAUUUGUACCCUCAAGCUUUGCUUGGUGUUGGGCGUCUUGUCUUUGGCCCCCCAAAGACUCGCCUUAAAACGAUUGGCAGCCGGCCUACUGGUUUCGCAGCGCAGCACAUUUUUGCGCUUGCAAUCAGCAAAAGAGGACGGCACUCCAUCAAGACUCCUUCUCACGUUUGACCUCGGAUCAGGUAGGGAUACCCGCUGAACUUAA
rnacentral:misc_RNA from 1 species